CCGGAUUGGAAACUACAAAAGGCCCUUUAAAGCUUCUUCAGAGCCCUCGGCCCUUAAAACCGAAGCUUCACACACGAGAGCUGUCCCUAUACAAUCUUUUUUUGUAGGGACAUUCUCAGAAACAAAGAGGAGGCCGGAGGUCCUGGAAGGCUCCUCUUCCAGUCCCUGGUGAAUCAAAAGCAUAACUAUAAACAGUGGAAGUUUGUUUCUGCAUUUGGCUCUUUGCAAAGUGGGAAAAACCAGAUGCAGCACCAACCCCACUGACACGGCAGAGGACACAGACGCAGAAGGUGCACAGCAGAUGGAAGAAGAGUCCUCAGAAACAGCCACUAAUGUAGCCUUUGCGAUGACUGCAGAUGAAGAUCAAGGAAAUUUGUGCUGUGUCUGCCGCAUCCAUUUUGACAAGAAGAAGAACGCUACAAAGAAGUGGCUUUCAUGGUGCCAAUCAUGGUUACACACUGCCUGAAGCAACAUGUGCCUUCACUGGCAGUGUCACAACACCCUGAAACAUGUAACAUUUACUGCAUUGCAGGGUUUAUGUUUUGAGUUGUUUGUUGUUUUUACUGUCAACUGUAAGAAGAAAACUAACAUUUUAGUUCAUCUUAAUUAAGAAGCCUGAUCUGAUUUACCAUGAUUUGGGAGUUAUUUAAGUUUAUGCAAUAAACUACACCUGGACCAGU